rnacentral:rRNA from 1 species
GAUGAACGCUGGCGGCGUGCCUAAUACAUGCAAGUCGAGCGAACAGACGAUGAGCUUGCUUCUCACACGUUAGCGGCGGACGGGUGAGUAACAGGGGGACAACCUACCAAUAAGACUGGGAUAAGGGCGGGAAAACGGAGCAAAUACCGGAAAAUAUAUUGAACCUAAUGGUUCAAUAGUGAAUGACGGUUAGGCUGACAUUUACAGCUAGAACCGGGCCGCAUUGGGUAGUUGGUAAGGUAACGGCUUACCAAGGCAACGAUGCGUACCCGACCGGAGAGGGUGUUCGCCCCCCCUGGAACUGGGCCACGGUCCAGACUCCUACGGGGGGCACCGGUAGGGAAUCUUCCGCAAUGGGCGAAAUCUUGACGGAGCAACGCCGCGUGGGUGAUGAGGGUCUUCGGUUCGUAAAACUCUGUUAUUAGGGAAGACCGAAUGUGUAAGUAACUGUGCACGUCUUGACGGUACCUAAUCAGAAAGCCACGGCUAACUACGUG